rnacentral:rRNA from 1 species
AUGACCACGGAGCCUUCCACCUCCGCGGCGACCUCCACCGCCGCCGCCUUAGCAGGCGACGCUAACGGCACGGAGCCAUGGAGCGCCCGCGUGCGCACCUUGUCGCGCCUCGGCCGGCACCGGGAGGUCCUGGCCCUGCUCCGCGACGGCGACCCCUCGCCGCCGCCGCACGCCCUUGCGCUACCAGCCGCGGUCAUCUCCUGCACGGCGCUAUCCCUGGUCUCCGGCGUCGCCCAGAUACAGGCACUCGGUUGCAAGCGCGGCCUGCUCCCUUCCUCCGACGCCUACCUCCUCUCCUCGCUGCUCUCCUCCUACUCCCGCCUCGGCCUCCUCCCGCGCGCCCACCAACUCCUCGACGAAAUGCCCCUCGCGUCCACGCCUCCCACCACGCUCCGCACAGCCUUCAACUCCCUCAUCUCCGGAUGCGCGCUGCACGCGCUCCCGGCCGCCUGCUUCGCCCUCUUCCGCCGCAUGCGGGCGGCCAGCGCCCCCUUCGAUGCCGUCACGCUGAUGACGCUGCUCCCCGCCGCUCCUCAGAGCGUCGUGCCGCAGCUCCAUGCCCUCGUGGGGAAAGCAGGGCUGGCCGCCCAGACAAACGUGGCCAACUGCCUCAUAUCAGCAUACGCGCGCCGCGGCGCUGGCCUUGCCCGGCAGGUGUUUGACGAGAUGCCAUUGACCUCCCGUGACAUCGUCUCGUGGAACGCCGUGCUCUCAGCCCACGCGCAGAAUGGCCUCGCAGUGGACGCCCUUGAUCUCUACAGCCGCAUGUGUGGCCACGAUGGCGGCGGCGUGGAGCCAGACGCCGUGACGCUCGUGAGCGUGCUCUCCUCGUGUGCCCACCUUGGAGCCCGCGGUGUAGGCCUGGGUGUCGAACGCUACAUGCAAGAGAGACUCCCAGGCUUCCGUGCCAACAUGCAGCUCUGCAACUCUCUCAUCAACUUCCAUGCACGCUGCGGCAAUUUGCCCCAGGCACAGCGGCUGUUCAACGAAAUGCCCAGGAAGAGCAUUGUGUCUUGGACGGCACUGAUCACUGGGUACGGCAUGCACGGGCAUGGCGAUGUCGCUGUAAAUCUCUUCCAGGCGAUGGUGUCAGAAGGCAUCCGGCCAGAUAAUGUCGCAAUGGUCGGCCUCUUGUCGGCGUGCAGCCACGCUGGAAUGUACGAGGAGGGGCGCAAGUACUUCUCAGCAAUGGAGAGUACAUACCAGUUGCGGCCUACACUGGAGCACUACACCUGCAUGGUGGACCUCCUUGGACGGGCCGGCCGUCUCAAGGAGGCACAAGAACUCAUCUCCUCAAUGCCCAUGCCAGCCGACGGUGCGGUGUGGGGUGCCCUUCUUGGGGCGUGCAAGAUACAUAAGAAUGUGGAGAUAGGGGAGGAGGCUUUCGAGCAUGUCAUCAAGCUCGAACCGAGCAAUGUCGGCUACUAUGUGCUCAUGGCAAACAUAUACACAGACACAGGACAACUGGAGGGUGUGGUGAGGGUACGUGCGAUGAUGAGGGAGCGUGGGCUCAAGAAGGAGCCUGGGUGCAGCUAUGUCGAAAACAAGGGGAGGGUUCAUCUCUUCAUGGCUGACGACCACUCACAUCCGCAGGCAAAGAGGAUUUACGAGCUCGUGAUUAAGCUUGAACAAAUGGUGACGGAGAGAACAGAUGGCACUGUGGAAACUGGGCAAGGCAGAGUGGACGAGGGGUACUCUGGGAAGAUGGCUGCGCCGUUGAUCGGCUUUCACAGUGAGAAGCUCGCUGUGGCCUUCGGUAUGCUGAACACUGAUGACAGUGAGAUUGUGGUGAUCAAGAACCUAAGGGUAUGUGGGGACUGCCACUCUUUCCUGAAGGCGGUCUCUGCAAUUGCCAACCGGGCAUUUCUCGUCAGGGACGCGAGCCGCUUCCAUCGCUUCGAAGGUGGAGCAUGCUCCUGCAAAGACUACUGGUGA